rnacentral:rRNA from 1 species
UACGUAGGGGGCAAGCGUUGUCCGGAAUCAUUGGGCGUAAAGAGCGUGUAGGCGGCUCGGUAAGUCCGCUGUGAAAGUCCAGGGCUCAACCCUGGAAUGCCGGUGGAAACUGUCGAGCUCGAGUCCGGAAGAGGCGAGUGGAAUUCCUGGUGUAGCGGUGAAAUGCGCAGAUAUCAGGAGGAACACCAAUGGCGAAGGCAGCUCUCUGGGACGGUACUGACGCUGAGACGCGAAAGCGUGGGGAGCGAACAGG